AUCGCUUUUCGGCCUAUUGGCUAAGAUCAAGUGCAGCAUUUGUUCUUAUCAGUUUAAUAUUUGAUAUGUCCCCUAUCUGGGGACCAUAUAGGAAAUGGAUUUUUCAGUAUAUGGGCUGAUUUGGAAGCUUGCUUCUGCUUGGCUCUUUUUUUUUUCUGGGUAUUUGUCUCCAUAACCCUGUAUGGGUCCUGAUA